GACUUCUAACCGUGACGACCACGACCCGAGUUUUACUUUGGUGUUUACUGGGCUUCUUUGGAAAAGGCCUAAUUCCGGUAUGCGUAGGCACGAGCGACAUUACAGAGGUGAUACGCGUGUGUAGACAUCAGGGGUCUUGGGGUCUCCACAUCGCUGUCCAGAGAAGGAGACAACGCCCGCUACAGCUCUGUCACACACCAAAGGACCACCUGAAUCCCCCUUGAAGAGAAAAGCGUUGCUUGAUCACUGUCCAGCCAGUGUACUCACCGAGCAGAAGCCUUGAAAGACCUUCGCCCCAACACCACAAAUCAUUGAUUUGGCGAUGG